UUUAAAGUUAUGACGGAACCCAGUAGGUAGAAGCUUUGCAGCAGAUAGAGAAUCGGUGAAUGGUGAGAACCGGUGCAAUCUUAUACUGAAUUACACUCUUGAACUUUCUUGAAGGAACGGUUAGCACCGUUAUAUGCAUAAGAGGUUUUCCUAUUGGGGAAACAAUCUGGGUGGUACCACGGUAAAUUAUCGUCCCUGAC
rnacentral:ncRNA from 1 species